rnacentral:rRNA from 1 species
GGUGCGUAACGCGUAUAGAACCUACCUUUUACUGAGGGAUAGCCUUUAGAAAUGAAGAUUAAUAUCUCAUAGUAUUGAGAAGUGGCAUCACUUUUUAAUUAAAGAUUUAUUGGUAAAAGAUGGCUAUGCGUCCUAUUAGCUAGAUGGUAAGGUAACGGCUUACCAUGGCGACGAUAGGUAGGGGUCCUGAGAGGGAGAUCCCCCACACUGGUACUGAGACACGGACCAGACUCC